UAGCUCAGGGGUAGAGCAGGUGAUUCGUAAUCAGCAGGUCGCGGGUUCGAAUCCCAC
rnacentral:tRNA from 1 species